rnacentral:rRNA from 1 species
UACGUAGGGGGCUAGCGUUGUCCGGAAUCAUUGGGCGUAAAGCGCGUGUAGGCGGCCCGGUAAGUCCGCUGUGAAAGUCCAGGGCUCAACCCUGGGAUGCCGGUGGAUACUGUCGGGCUCGAGUCCGGAAGAGGCGAGUGGAAUUCCUGGUGUAGCGGUGAAAUGCGCAGAUAUCAGGAGGAACACCGAUGGCGAAGGCGGCAUCCUGGACCGAGAUUGACGCUGAUGCGCGAAAGCCAGGGGAGCAAACGGG